CCACAUCAUGUUGAAUCACCAGUUCCUGUAUGAUCACCGAAGUUAAACAAUGUCAAGCCUGGUCAGUACCUAGAUGAGUGACCGCUUAGGAAUAUCAGGUGCUGUAA